rnacentral:rRNA from 1 species
CUGGCGGCGUGCCUAACACAUGCAAGUCGAACGGGGUGAUUCACUUCGGUGGAUCACUUAGUGGCGAACGGGUGAGUAACGCGUGAGAAACCUGCCUUUCAGUGGGGGACAACAGUUGGAAACGACUGCUAAUACCGCAUAAGCGCACUAAAGCUGCAUGGCUCAGUGUGAAAAAACUCCGGUGGUAUAAGAUGGAUUCGCGUCUGAUUAGCUAGUUGGUGGGGUAACGGCUCACCAAGGCGACGAUCAGUAGCCGGCCUGAGAGGGUGAACGGCCACAUUGGGACUGAGACACGGCCCAGACUCCUACGGGAGGCAGCAGUGGGGGAUAUUGGACAAUGGGGGCAACCCUGAUCCAGCGACGCCGCGUGAGGGAAGAAGGUUUCGGAUUGUAAACCUCUGUCAACAGGGAAAAUGAUGAUGGUACCUGUGGAGGAAGCCACGGCUAACUACGUG